GCGAUAUAACAAUUAGCAAUAGCUUUACUCAAGUUGAAGGCCGUGUUCUACCGGCUCCUAAGCUAAACGUGGGCAAUGGAGAGGAUUUCUUCCCCCGCAAUGGACGGUGGAGCUUUCAAAGUAAGAAAUUUGUUGAGCCAGCUAAGAUACAGAAAUGGGCUGUGGUGAACUUC